rnacentral:lncRNA from 1 species
GCAUUUCAUUAUUACAUACUCCGCUAUACUCAGAAUGAAGGUGCAAGACGGGUUUGUUAUAACUUAUAAAGAGUAAUACAUAUAAGUACAAUGUUCUUUUUAUUUCACAAAGUAAUACCGAUAAUAAUUAAAGUUUAUCUUUAUAUAGAUAAAGCGUCUUAUUAUCUCUCUUCCGAGUUGACUAACAUGUUACACUCAGACAGAGACACCAGUCUAACACGUUCUUAGAUCAAACUAAACCAAGAACCCCUCUGACCUCCUCAUGAUUCCUAGCCCUUAUAUUUUGUGUCUACCCUUAUUCGACACCAAAACCCUUAUGGUUACGACCUUCUUUUGAGGUGUUACAUAAUCCUAGGCACGUCUUUCUCUACUUAUACUUGUAGAUUUCGUGGCUUGCCUUAACCAACUUCCCAAGGAAGAGAUAUUACCAUAUCUUCCUUUCUGGAAUAUUUCCAAAUCUUCUUCAAAGUCUUUUGGAAAUCUUCGCUUGAUGAUUUACAUUUUCUCCAAAGUAAAUCAUAGCUUGCUUAGCCUCUAAGUAGUCUUUACUUCAGCUCUAAGUCGGCUCCAAUUUCAGUCUUCAAGUCAGCUACACAGCUUAACUUCAGUUUCAUUUCACGUAGCACUUCUUGUACGACUUCAUGUAGUACUUCACGACUGGUACAUGGACACUCCGAGGAGUUGUUUUUCUUCAGCUUCUAAAACUCAAUCGUCACUACACUAACAAUCUGCCCCUUGAUGAUUGAGUUAUAGAAUACAACACCCAUACACUGCUUUAGCGCCCAUACACUGCUUCAGCUCAGCCACCAUGCUUCAUGCAGUACUUUGUCUUAAGUCUUCCCUCUUGCCUUCAGGAUUUUCAAUAGUGACUUAAGUGACCUGCUCUGAUACCAAUUGAAGGUGCAAGAUGAGUCUGUUACAAAGAGUAAUACAUACAAGUACAAUGCUCUUUUUUAUUUUACAAAGUACUAUAGUAGGAUAACAAUGAAGGUUUAUCUUUACAUAGAUAAAGUGCCGUACUAGCUCCCUUACGAGUUGACUAACAUGUCAUACUCAGAUAGAGGCACCAGCCUAAUACAUUCCUAGAUCAAACUAACCCAAGAACCCCUCUGACCUCCUCAUGACCCCUAGCCCUUAUGUUAUGUGUCUACUACUCUCAUUCGACACCAAAAUCCUUAUGCUUACGGCCUUCUUU